rnacentral:rRNA from 1 species
AGAGUUUGAUCAUGGCUCAGAUUGAACGCUGGCGGCAGGCCUAACACAUGCAAGUCGAGCGGUAGCACAGAGAGCUUGCUCUCGGGUGACGAGCGGCGGACGGGUGAGUAAUGUCUGGGAAACUGCCUGAUGGAGGGGGAUAACUACUGGAAACGGUAGCUAAUACCGCAUAAUGUCGCAAGACCAAAGUGGGGGACCUUCGGGCCUCAUGCCAUCAGAUGUGCCCAGAUGGGAUUAGCUAGUAGGUGGGGUAACGGCUCACCUAGGCGACGAUCCCUAGCUGGUCUGAGAGGAUGACCAGCCACACUGGAACUGAGACACGGUCCAGACUCCUACGGGAGGCAGCAGUGGGGAAUAUUGCACAAUGGGCGCAAGCCUGAUGCAGCCAUGCCGCGUGUGUGAAGAAGGCCUUCGGGUUGUAAAGCACUUUCAGCGGGGAGGAAGGCGNCGAUUGACGUUACCCGCAGAAGAAGCACCGGCUAACUCCGUGCCAGCAGCCGCGGUAAUACGGAGGGUGCAAGCGUUAAUCGGAAUUACUGGGCGUAAAGCGCACGCAGGCGGUCUGUCAAGUCGGAUGUGAAAUCCCCGGGCUCAACCUGGGAACUGCAUUCGAAACUGGCAGGCUAGAGUCUUGUAGAGGGGGGUAGAAUUCCAGGUGUAGCGGUGAAAUGCGUAGAGAUCUGGAGGAAUACCGGUGGCGAAGGCGGCCCCCUGGACAAAGACUGACGCUCAGGUGCGAAAGCGUGGGGAGCAAACAGGAUUAGAUACCCUGGUAGUCCACGCCGUAAACGAUGUCGAUUUGGAGGUUGUGCCCUUGAGGCGUGGCUUCCGGAGCUAACGCGUUAAAUCGACCGCCUGGGGAGUACGGCCGCAAGGUUAAAACUCAAAUGAAUUGACGGGGGCCCGCACAAGCGGUGGAGCAUGUGGUUUAAUUCGAUGCAACGCGAAGAACCUUACCUGGUCUUGACAUCCACAGAACUUAGCAGAGAUGCUUUGGUGCCUUCGGGAACUGUGAGACAGGUGCUGCAUGGCUGUCGUCAGCUCGUGUUGUGAAAUGUUGGGUUAAGUCCCGCAACGAGCGCAACCCUUAUCCUUUGUUGCCAGCGGUUAGGCCGGGAACUCAAAGGAGACUGCCAGUGAUAAACUGGAGGAAGGUGGGGAUGACGUCAAGUCAUCAUGGCCCUUACGACCAGGGCUACACACGUGCUACAAUGGCAUAUACAAAGAGAAGCGACCUCGCGAGAGCAAGCGGACCUCAUAAAGUAUGUCGUAGUCCGGAUUGGAGUCUGCAACUCGACUCCAUGAAGUCGGAAUCGCUAGUAAUCGUAGAUCAGAAUGCUACGGUGAAUACGUUCCCGGGCCUUGUACACACCGCCCGUCACACCAUGGGAGUGGGUUGCAAAAGAAGUAGGUAGCUUAACCUUCGGGAGGGCGCUUACCACUUUGUGAUUCAUGACUGGGGUGAAGUCGUAACAAGGUAACCGUAGGGGAACCUGCGGUUGGAUCACCU